GGUGCCUUAGCUCAGUCGGUAGAGCAACAGACUGAAAAUCUGUGUGUCCCUGGUUCGAUUCCUGGAGGCACCACCA
rnacentral:tRNA from 1 species